rnacentral:lncRNA from 1 species
AACUCGACUUCCAAGACAAACGCUCCGUGGUUCUGGCCGUCCUUGACCUGGUGACUUUUGACCUUCAGGACUACUUUUCCGUAGUUCUGGCUGUCCAGGUCCUCCACCUGAUGGAUCUUGACAUCCAGGAAAAGUGCUCCGUAGUUCUGGCUGUCCAGGUCCUUGACCUGGUGACUUUUGACCUUCAGGACUAUAUUUCCGUAUAACCCGUGGUGGAUAGCGGUGGUCGUUGGAGGUGGUUAGCGGUGGUUGAAGAGGGUCGGAGGUGAACAAGGGGGAGGACGACGAGGAAGACGAGGAGAACGAGAUGGACAAAGAUGACGAAGAUUUGUGCACGUAUUCGAGGUAUAACCCGAGGUGGUUUGCAGUGGACAUUGGAGGUGGUUGGCGGUGGUUGCGGCCGAUAGAGGUGGACGAGAAGGAGGAGGAUCAGAAUUAAAGUAGAAGAAGGAUCAGGAGUAGGAACAGGAGUAGGAGUAGGACUAGGUGUAGGAUCAAGAGGGGAAGUGGGAGUGGGAGUGGGAGUGGGAGUACCCUACCCUACCCUACCCUACCCUACCCUACCCCACCCUACACUUCCCGCCCCUACCCGCCUCCUAUACUCCUACUUCUACUUCAAUCUUACUGCUACUUCUACUACGAUCUUACUCCAACUCCUGAUUCUACUUCUAUUCCUACUCCUACUCCUGAUCCCACUCCUAUUCCUACUCCUAAUUCUGAAUAUUAAUGUUAUUGAAUAUAUGUAGUAUAAUGAUAAUAAUAGGUUUGAUGCUAUUAAUUUUACUAAAGAAAGAUUUGCAGUGACGGCAGGUUUGAAUUUUACAGAAGUAUUUCUUUAUUAUGACAAAGUGACAAGUACAUCUUUACAGUAGUCCCGAUGGUCUUAGGCUGACUUUUUUAGCUAUUAGGUACAUGCAGGGCCUCUUGGCCUUUUCUCACCCCCACCCUCAUACCCUUACUUAUACUUUGUACUCCAUACUUCAUACCUGGCUCUCUCUCUCGCUCUCACACGACUCGUAUCCAUCUCAAUUAUACAAUACUUUAGUGACCGAGACUCACCAACUAGCCACGUUUCCUCAUCUGGCAACAGCAUGUUGGAUAGCCUUUGUCACAACAUAAUCCUUAAAUUUACGACACUUAGAAAUAAACACAACCUUAUCUUUACUUUAAAAUAUAAACUUAACAUAGAGAAUAUUCUUUACUCCUACAUAUAUGAACUGCAUGUCGAAUUGAAUCCCAUAUCGAAACGAACAAUUCUUUUAUUGUAAUAUUAUAGCCGAUUCUAGUUGAUAAUCUCGUAUGUUUCCUAGAAAAUUAUAAAAUUUGUAGUAUGCAUCACGUAUUAAUCAUAAAUAAAUCAUAUAUAUCAAUGUCGUACAUGGACCGCAUAUACAUUUAUACUUUUUGGUCUCUGCAUCAUUAUUGCAUCUGAUCUAUUUUUAUUCAUGAUCUAUGUAUAAA